rnacentral:rRNA from 1 species
GAUGAACGCUGGCGGCGUGCCUAAUACAUGCAAGUCGAGCGAACGGACGAGAAGCUUGCUUCUCUGAUGUUAGCGGCGGACGGGUGAGUAACACGUGGAUAACCUACCUAUAAGACUGGGAUAACUUCGGGAAACCGGAGCUAAUACCGGAUAAUAUUUUGAACCGCAUGGUUCAAAAGUAAAAGACGGUCUUGCUGUCACUUAUAGAUGGAUCCGCGCUGCAUUAGCUAGUUGGUAAGGUAACGGCUUACCAAGGCAACGAUGCAUAGCCGACCUGAGAGGGUGAUCGGCCACACUGGAACUGAGACACGGUCCAGACUCCUACGGGAGGCAGCAGUAGGGAAUCUUCCGCAAUGGGCGAAAGCCUGACGGAGCAACGCCGCGUGAGUGAUGAAGGUCUUCGGAUCGUAAAACUCUGUUAUUAGGGAAGAAUAUAUGUGUAAGUAACUGUGCACAUCUUGACGGUACCUAAUCAGAAAGCCACGGCUAACUACGUGCCAGCAGCCGCGGUAAUACGUAGGUGGCAAGCGUUAUCCGGAAUUAUUGGGCGUAAAGCGCGCGUAGGCGGUUUUUUAAGUCUGAUGUGAAAGCCCACGGCUCAUUCGUGGAGGGUCAUUGGAAACUGGAAAACUUGAGUGCAGAAGAGGAAAGUGGAAUUCCAUGUGUAGCGGUGAAAUGCGCAGAGAUAUGGAGGAACACCAGUGGCGAAGGCGACUUUCUGGUCUGUAACUGACGCUGAUGUGCGAAAGCGUGGGGAUCAAACAGGAUUAGAUACCCUGGUAGUCCACGCCGUAAACGAUGAGUGCUAAGUGUUAGGGGGUUUCCGCCCCUUAGUGCUGCAGCUAACGCAUUAAGCACUCCGCCUGGGGAGUACGACCGCAAGGUUGAAACUCAAAGGAAUUGACGGGGACCCGCACAAGCGGUGGAGCAUGUGGUUUAAUUCGAAGCAACGCGAAGAACCUUACCAAAUCUUGACAUCCUUUGACAACUCUAGAGAUAGAGCCUUCCCCUUCGGGGGACAAAGUGACAGGUGGUGCAUGGUUGUCGUCAGCUCGUGUCGUGAGAUGUUGGGUUAAGUCCCGCAACGAGCGCAACCCUUAAGCUUAGUUGCCAUCAUUAAGUUGGGCACUCUAAGUUGACUGCCGGUGACAAACCGGAGGAAGGUGGGGAUGACGUCAAAUCAUCAUGCCCCUUAUGAUUUGGGCUACACACGUGCUACAAUGGACAAUACAAAGGGCAGCGAAACCGCGAGGUCAAGCAAAUCCCAUAAAGUUGUUCUCAGUUCGGAUUGUAGUCUGCAACUCGACUACAUGAAGCUGGAAUCGCUAGUAAUCGUAGAUCAGCAUGCUACGGUGAAUACGUUCCCGGGUCU